rnacentral:lncRNA from 13 species
GAGCAGAGAUAUAGCUACUUUUCUUCUUUUAUCACUGCGGUAAAAUCUGAAUGAACAUGAUUCGUACCGUUCGUACGUGUUCCUCUUAGAAGAAAAACAUAUGAACAGUUUAAUUUCGAAGAGAGUCCAUCUUUGAAAUUAAUUUUUCAUAACUACUUUUCUAAGUGGAACUUGGUCUUUAAACUUUCCACAUGCGUUCUGGCUGGUAUAUGGAAGUUACGUUUGAAAGUUUGAAGAAUAAGUCCAGGUAAACCUAACCUACAUUUGAAUUAUAAGAACGUUGUGGUUUCAUGUCGACUUUACUUUUAUUUACUUCUCCGUAUGCUAUGCGUCGAAGAAAUAAAGAUGCUCGAUAUAUUGUUUUAUUUAUUAACAAAAUCUUGCGCCGUUUAAUCAGUCGCAGUGAUGCCAGGAAUCAAAAUAACAUAACUCGCA